GUGACCUCGGNAUCAGGUAGGAAUACCC
rnacentral:rRNA from 1 species